rnacentral:rRNA from 1 species
UUGGAGGGCAAGUCUGGUGCCAGCAGCCGCGGUAAUUCCAGCUCCAAUAGCGUAUAUUAAAGUUGUUGCAGUUAAAAAGCUCGUAGUUGAAUUUCGGGAUUAGUACGUUGGUCGUGCCUUCGGUACGUACUGGUGUUACUGAUUCCUACCUUCUGACGAACCAUCAUGUCAUUAAUUUGGUGUGGUGGGGAAUCAGGACUGUUACUUUGAAAAAAUUAGAGUGUUUAAAGCAGGCUCGCGCUUGAAUACAUUAGCAUGGAAUAAUGAAAUAGGACGUUGACCCUAUUUUGUUGGUUUCUAGGAUUGACGUAAUGAUUAAUAGGGAUAGUUGGGGGCAUUAGUAUUCAAUUGUCAGAGGUGAAAUUCUUGGAUUUAUUGAAGACUAACUACUGCGAAAGCAUUUGCCAAGGAUGUUUUCAUUAAUCAAGAACGAAAGUUAGGGGAUCGAAGACGAUCAGAUACCGUCGUAGUCUUAACCAUAAACUAUGCCGACUAGGGAUCGGAUGAUGUUAUUUUUAAUGACUCAUUCGGCACCUUACGGGAAAC